rnacentral:misc_RNA from 1 species
UAAAGAAAUUAGUAUUUUAAAGAAAAAACAAAAAAGGAAUACAAAACAUAUAUAUACAAAUUUAUUUUGCUUAACAGGUUGGUUAGGAAAGGAGGAAGGUUGUUUCUAGCUUGCAAAAGCUUCAAUUUAAAACACUUACUAAUACAUAUGGUUACAGCUUCUCCUUAUACCUUAAACCACUUCCUUAUAGCUUCUUGCACUCGAAUUACAAAGAUAAAACUCAUGCUUCUGGUCAGUGUGCCAACACUCAAUGCCCAUGACUUUGGUUUCACCACAUAGCAUGAAAGCAUUCAAAUAUAUAUUUGACAAUCAAUUAGAUGCAACACAAGCUAAAAAUUACUAAACCCUGCGAAUCUUACCCAGUUAAGCAGCAGAUAUCCUUUAAGGAAAGUUUUUAAUUGUUAGUCAUCCUUCCAAGACUAUAUUUGUAUAAUUUCUCAUUAAAUAAUUCCAGAUAAGUACUCUGAUUCAGGUUAAUGGCAAAUAGGGAAUGAAGAGAAGAACAUGAUCACAAACCUACAGGCAGCCAGAAAGCAAUGGCAAAAAGUAUUUCAGUUGCAAUCAAUCUCAAGAAGAGAUGUAUUCAAGACAGUAAAACAAUUGCCAAUAGAUAUGGGGAUAUAAAAAAAUUGCUAUAGGUAC